rnacentral:rRNA from 1 species
UACAGGGGGGGCAAGCGUUGUUCGGAAUUACUGGGCGUAAAGGGCUCGUAGGCGGCCAACUAAGUCCGACGUGAAAUCCCAAAGCUUAACUUUGGAACUGCGUCGGAUACUGGAUGGCUUGAAUUCGGGAGAGGGAUGCAGAAUUCCAGGUGUAGCGGUGAAAUGCGUAGAUAUCUGGAGGAAUACCGGUGGCGAAGGCGGCAGCCUGGACCGACAUUGACGCUGAGGAGCGAAAGCUAGGGGAGCAAACGGG